UUUAUUUUGAGAGUUUGAUCCUGGCUCAGGAUGAACGCUGGCGGCGUGCUUAACACAUGCAAGUCGAGCGAAGCACUUAAGAAAGAUUCUUCGGAUGAAUUCUUUUGUGACUGAGCGGCGGACGGGUGAGUAACGCGUGGAUAACCUGCCUCAUACAGGGGGAUAACAGUUAGAAAUGACUGCUAAUACCGCAUAAGCGCACAGUGCCGCAUGGCACCGUGUGA
rnacentral:rRNA from 1 species